ncrna:unclassified sequences L31-Firmicutes ribosomal protein leader
CUCUGGAUUCGAAGGCAAUCCAGGGCGGAAAGAG